AUGGGGGAUCCCCGGACUGGGGCCCCCCUGGAUGAUGGUGAGGGCUGGACAGGUAGUAAGGAAGGCAGUGAGGAGGGCACCGUUGGCAGUGAGGGCGUUGGAGGUGACGGGAGCCCUGAUGCAGAAGGUGUGUGGAGCCCUGACAUGAGCAGAGUUUUCAGGAGGCCCUGGCCAUCUACCCUCCCUGUAGCUGUCGCAAGAUCAUCCUGUCAGAUGAGGGCAAGAUGUAUGGCCGGAAUGAACUCAUUGCCCGUUACAUCAAGCUGAGGACAGGCGAGAACUCAAAAGCAGGUCUCUAAUCACAUCCAGGUUUUGGCUCGAAGGAAAUCGAGAGAAACUCAGUCCAAGCUGAAGGACCAAGUCUCCAAGGACAAGGCGUUCCAGAUGAUGGCCACCAUGUCUUCGGCACAGCGCAUCUCUACACCUUCCCUCCAGGCCAAGCUGGGUCCUUCUGGCUCUCAGGCCACUGAGCUUUUCCAGUUCUGGUCAGGGAGCUCUGGGCCACCGUGGAAUGUUCCAGACGUGAAGCCCUUCUCACAGGCACCGUUCUCUGUGUCACUGACACCCCCAGCCCUCUCCCCCCUGCCCCUACCCUCUCCGUCUCUCCCAGCCUGGCAGGCUCGGGCCCUGGGGACUGCGUGCCUGCAGCUGGUGGAGUUCUCAGCCAGCGUUUGUGGAACCGCCAGACGCAGUUGACUCCUUUCAGAGGCAUCUGUUUGUCCACAUCAGUCAACAGUGCCCCAGCCCAGGAGCACCACCCCUGGAGAGUGUGGACGUGUGGCAGAUCUACAACAAAUUCCCUGAGAAAAAAGGUGGCCUCCGGUCUCCGGGAGCUCUAUGACCCAGGGCCACCACAUGCCUUCUUGGUCAAGUUCUGGGCGGACCUGAACUGGGGCCCAAGUGCUGAGGAGGCAGGGAGCAGUGGAGGUGGUGGUGGCUUCUAUGGAGUGAGCAGCCAGUAUGAGAGCCAGAACCGGGAGCUCAUGACACUUACCUGCUCCUCCAAGGUCUUCUCCUUUGGCAAGCAAGUGGUAGAGGGGGUCCAGAGGGAGUGGGCGCAGCUGGAGGAUGGACAUUUUGUAUAUCGCCUGCUGCGCUCUCCCAUGUGUGAGUGCCUGGUUAACUUCCUGCACAAGCUUCGUCAGCUGCCUGAACACUACAUGAUGGACAGUGUCCUGGAGAACUUCACCAUCCUCCAGGUGGUGACAAACAGGGACACUCAGGAACUGCUGCUGUGUACUGCCUAUGUCUUUGAAGUCUCCACUAGUGAACGCAGAGCCCAGCACAUCUACUGCCUGGUCAGGGACUGAUAGAUUGCUGAUGUUUUUCAGAACACCUCCUUCCUAGGAAGGACCCUUUUUCUCUCCCUGUAAGAGAGAUUUGGAAAGGGGACCAUGAUUUCUUAAAAGGCCUAAUCUCAGAAGCAUGAGCCAUGGUGGCUGGCUCCUAUUGGAAAGGAACGGAAGCCUGGUUAUGGAGCUAAGUGAGCUGGGUUUGAGUUUAGACCCCCAACACGAGGACCUCACAGACAGCAUGUGACAGGACACACCACUCCUGAACAUCAGGGACUGAGGACAGCAGUGCAUGCCCACAGGCACAGCACUGGCCUCUCAGUUCUACAGGGGCCCCUCCUUGCUCUUCUGGAAAGGGGAGCUGGGCUAUGUGGGGCAUAUUACUCAUUGCCUUGUAACCUUCCUGUUUUCCAGUUGUCUCAUGUCUGCCUCUUCUCCCCCCCCCCCCCCGCUUUCUCUGGG